rnacentral:rRNA from 1 species
UCGGGAAUUUUGGACAAUGGGGGCAACCCUGAUCCAGCCAUGCCGCGUGAGUGAAGAAGGCCUUCGGGUUGUAAAGCUCUUUCGGACGGAACGAAAUGGUUACGGAUAAUACCUGUGACUGGUGACGGUACUGUAAGAAGAAGCACCGGCUAACUACGUGCCAGCAGCCGCGGUAAUACGUAGGGUGCGAGCGUUAAUCGGAAUUACUGGGCGUAAAGCGUGCGCAGGCGAUUAUGCAAGACAGAUGUGAAAUCCCCGGGCUCAACCUGGGAACUGCAUUUGUGACUGUAUAGCUAGAGUACGGUAGAGGGGGAUGGAAUUCCGCGUGUAGCAGUGAAAUGCGUAGAUAUGCGGAGGAACACCGAUGGCGAAGGCAAUCCCCUGGACCUGUACUGACGCUCAUGCACGAAAGCGUGGGGAGCAAACAGGAUUAGAUACCCCCGUAGUCCCUGAGCGGGCUGGCAAGGCGCAU